rnacentral:rRNA from 1 species
GUCUUUUUGAUUAUAAUUUAAAGUCUAACCUGCCCAAUGAGUAGUUAAAUGGCCGCGGUACUUUGACCGUGCAAAGGUAGCAUAAUCAUUAGUUUUUUAAUUGAAAGCUGGAAUGAACGGUUGGACGAGAAAAUAACUGUCUCAAUUUAAUUUUAAUUAGAAUUUUAUUUAUAAGUAAAAAAGCUUAUAUAUGUUUAAAAGACGAGAAGACCCUAUAGAAUUUUAUAUUUAUUUAUGUAUAUUAUUUAUAGAAUAUAAAAUUAUCUAUAUAAAUAAGUAUUUUGUUGGGGCGAUAGAAAAAUUAACUUAACUUUUUUUAUAUAAAAUCAUUGAUUUAUGAGAGAGUGAUCCGUUAUUUACGAUUAUAAGAUUAAAUUACCUUAGGGAUAACAGCGUAAUUUUUUUUUAGAGUUCUUAUCGAAAAAAGAGUUUGCGACCUCGAUGUUGGAUUAAAAUUAACUUUUGGUGUAGGGGCUAAAGGGUUAGGUCUGUUCGACCUUUAAAAUUUUACA